UUUUGGUGUCAUAUGCUUGUCUCAAAGAUUAAGCCAUGCAUGUCUAAGUAUAAGCAAUCUAUACAGUGAAACUGCGAAUGGCUCAUUAAAUCAGUUAUCGUUUAUUUGAUAGUACCUUACUACUUGGAUAACCGUGGUAAUUCUAGAGCUAAUACAUGCUAAAAACCCCGACUUCGGAAGGGGUGUAUUUAUUAGAUAAAAAACCAAUGCUCUUCGGGGCUCCUUGGUGAUUCAUAAUAACUUAACGAAUCGCAUGGCCUUGUGCCGGCGAUGGUUCAUUCAAAUUUCUGCCCUAUCAACUUUCGAUGGUAGGAUAGUGGCCUACCAUGGUUUCAACGGGUAACGGGGAAAAAA
rnacentral:rRNA from 2 species